rnacentral:lncRNA from 1 species
CCACCAAUGUGCAAUAAAGAUAAAUUUGCUAACUGGAAAUUUCGGAUGCAAGCAUACAUGGACUCAAUGGAUGAAGAUCUAUUUGAGACCGUUCAAAAUGGGCCCUAUAUUCCAACAAAUCUUGCACCAACUAUAGAUGAUCCAAACAGAAUACAAAUCAAAGUCAAAGAAGAAUGGAUUGACAACGAGAAGAGAGCUGUCCAACUCGACAAG